GAGAGAGUCUCUCAAGCUCUUCAAAACUUCAGCCCCCAAACUUCAGCCGCAGCCGCGAGAAAGACCUUUCAACACAGAGCUGCCGCGGGGGAGGGACCCAAGUUUGGAUCUGAAGCCUCCACAGUUUCAGAAACACACACUACUUUUCUAUAGGACCCGAGCCUUACUCAAUGAAUGGUCCCAUGACAUGUUCACCGUACACCUUCCAACUUCUGCAACAAAUGACACAGGAGUCUUGCAGACAGCAGUCUCAUUCACUACACAACAACCCUGAUUCAUUCCCAGAGCACUAUCCAUCCAUCCUGCACACCAAACAAGAUAGAGAUCUUGUGGAAAAUAAUAGUAUGUUUGUGUGUAAUUAAAGACUGUAUAUGCAUUGAUACAAGGGGGCCAAAUUAAAGUUGGAAUGGGCAACCUGAAUUCUGGCAUUUCCUAUCAUCUGAGUGUUCA